rnacentral:rRNA from 1 species
UGAACGCUGGCGGCGUGCCUAAUACAUGCAAGUCGAGCGACCGGACGAGAAGCUUGCUUUUCUGAUGUUAGCGGCGGACGGGUGAGUAACACGUGGAUAACCUACCUAUAAGACUGGGAUAACUUCGGGAAACCGGAGCUAAUACCGGAUAAUAUUUUGAACCGCAUGGUUCAAAAGUGAAAGACGGUCUUGCUGUCACUUAUAGAUGGAUCCGCGCUGCAUUAGCUAGUUGGUAAGGUAACGGCUUACCAAGGCAACGAUGCAUAGCCGACCUGAGAGGGUGAUCGGCCACACUGGAACUGAGACACGGUCCAGACUCCUACGGGAGGCAGCAGUAGGGAAUCUUCCGCAAUGGGCGAAAGCCUGACGGAGCAACGCCGCGUGAGUGAUGAAGGUCUUCGGAUCGUAAAACUCUGUUAUUAGGGAAGAACAUAUGUGUAAGUAACUGUGCACAUCUUGACGGCACCUAAUCAGAAAGCCACGGCUAACUACGUG